ACGCUGGCGGCAGGCCUAACACAUGCAAGUCGAGCGGAAACGAGUUAUCUGAACCUUCGGGGRACGAUARCGGCGUCGAGCGGCGGACGGGUGAGUAAUGCCUAGGAAAUUGCCCUGAUGUGGGGGAUAACCAUUGGAAACGAUGGCUAAUACCGCAUGAUGCCUACGGGCCAAAGAGGGGGACCUUCGGGCCUCUCGCGUCAGGAUAUGCCUAGGUGGGAUUAGCUAGUUGGUGAGGUAAGGGCUCACCAAGGCGACGAUCCCUAGCUGGUCUGAGAGGAUGAUCAGCCACACUGGAACUGAGACACGGUCCAGACUCCUACGGGAGGCAGCAGUGGGGAAUAUUGCACAAUGGGCGCAAGCCUGAUGCAGCCAUGCCGCGUGUGUGAAGAAGGCCUUCGGGUUGUAAAGCACUUUCAGUCGUGAGGAAGGUAGUGUAGUUAAUAGCUGCAUUAUUUGACGUU
rnacentral:rRNA from 1 species